CGAGUGGCGGACGGGUGAGUAAUGUCUGGGAAACUGCCCGAUGGAGGGGGAGUAACUACUGGAAACGGUAGCUAAUACCGCAUAACGUCGCAAGACCAAAGAGGGGGACCUUCGGGCCUCUUGCCAUCGGAUGUGCCCAGAUGGGAUUAGCUAGUAGGUGGGGUAAAGGCUCACCUAGGCGACGAUCCCUAGCUGGUCUGAGAGGAUGACCAGCCACACUGGAACUGAGACACGGUCCAGACUCCUACGGGAGGCAGCAUG
rnacentral:rRNA from 1 species